UACGGAGGAUCCAAGCGUUAUCCGGAAUCAUUGGGUUUAAAGGGUCCGUAGGUGGAUAAUUAAGUCAGAGGUGAAAGUUUGCAGCUCAACUGUAAAAUUGCCUUUGAUACUGGUUAUCUUGAGUUAUUAUGAAGUAGUUAGAAUAUGUAGUGUAGCGGUGAAAUGCAUAGAUAUUACAUAGAAUACCAAUUGCGAAGGCAGAUUACUAAUAAUCAACUGACACUGAUGGACGAAAGCGUGGGGAGCGAACAGG
rnacentral:rRNA from 1 species